UACGGAGGGUGCAAGCGUUGCUCGGAAUCACUGGGCGUAAAGCGACAGCAGGCGGCCUGACAAGUCGGAUGUGAAGGCCCUGGGCUCAACUCAGGAACAGCAUUCGAAACUGGCAGGCUUGAGUACGGGAGAGGGGGGUGGAAUUCCUGGUGUAGGGGUGAAAUUCGUUGAUAUCAGGAGGAACACCGGCGGCGAAGGCGGCCCCCUGGCCCGCAACUGACGCUCAUGGUCGAAAGCGUGGGGAGCAAACAGG
rnacentral:rRNA from 1 species